UACCCCUGCAAGGGUGUCCUAACCUUACCUCUCUACUAUUUUCUGUUCUGUUGAUUCUAUCACCUGCCAUCUUCUACUUUGUGCCUCAAGGUUUAGAUCAAAUCAGCCUUUUUCUCAAUGCUACAGAGAAAGGAUCCUAUUUCAUAGAUAUUUAUGUUUUAGUCUUUGUUACAAGUCUUCCCAUAAAAUGCUUCAGAUUACAACAUUUAGGGAAACUGAAAAGCAUUAGUUACCAUCUGAGCAAGGGCUUGAAGAUGUGGUUUUGGCAGUCAACAGAGCUACUGGAAAUCAUAAUGGAAUUAAGAGAAGCCAUCUCAUCUGAAAGACAUUUUCAGG
ensembl:lncRNA